rnacentral:rRNA from 1 species
GAUUAUGGCCAUGACACCCUGAACAAGCCCAAUGUCUGAUCUCGGAAGCUGAGCAGAGUCGGGCUUGGUUAGUACUUGGAUGGGAGACCACCUAGGAAGACCGACCAGGUGCUGUAGGCA